rnacentral:rRNA from 1 species
UUUAAAUGAAGACCAGAACAAAAGAUUAAACGUUUAAAUCAAUAUUUAUAAUUAAAUAAUCCAAUUUAUCUUAAAUGUAAAAAGACAUUUAUAAAUAAGAAAGACGACAAGACCCUAUUGAACUUAACUUAAGUUAAACUGGGGCAGUUAAUUAAUAAAAAUUUUAAUUCAAAAAACAAAAUAAAUAAUCCAAUACCAUUGAAAUGAUCAAGUUACCAUAGGGAUAACAGCGUAAUAAUUUUCUAAAGCCCUCAUAAAAAUAAUAGUUUGCGACCUCGAUGUUGAAUUAAUUACCUAAUUAGAGCAAAAGCUAAUCAAGGAAGUCUGUUCGACUUUUAAAAAAUUACAUGAUUUGAGUUCAGACCGGUAUAAGCCAGGUCGGUUUCUAUCUUCUUCCUAAUUCUUAUAGUACGAAAGGGACUAAGAAACUAAUAUUAUUAAUUAAUUGGCAGAAAAAUGCAUUAGAAUUAGAAUCUAAUAAAACUAAUCCAUAUCAUUUAUCUUAUCAUAUCUAUUUAUUACAAUUAGA